rnacentral:pre_miRNA from 1 species
CUUGCCCUUGGUGAGGACUCGGGAGGUGGAGGGUGGCGCUGCCACGGCCAGGGCACUGUCUCAGCUCGCUUCUCCCCCCACCUCCUCUCUCCUCAGGUGCGGCUGCAG